AGCCCCUGUCGGACAGACGCGCCUUUUCUAUAUGAGGUGAGGAAAGUCCGGACACGCGUCCUUUGCUUGUCAAGGGACAGGACGGUAGCGGGUAAUACCCGUCCAAAGUAAUUUGCGAGGUGCGAACAGUGACGCCGGACUCGAAAGAGAAAGGCACCCCCUGUGGGUGAAUCUUUAUGGCGACAUAAGGAGUGAAACGGCUAAAUCCUUACCCGCGUGCAAGGCCGAGUCAUCUUUGUACCUAUACGGUACUGGGAUGAAGCGCCGCUUGAGGUCGUCAGUGAUGGCGGUCCCAGAUACAUGUUUGUCGCAUGCACCAAAGGGGUGCGUGUACAGAACCCGGCUUAUAGACAGGAGCCCGUA
rnacentral:RNase_P_RNA from 1 species